rnacentral:rRNA from 1 species
AACGAACGCUGGCGGCAGGCUUAACACAUGCAAGUCGAACGCAUGCCUUCGGGCAUGGGUGGCAGACGGGUGAGUAACGCGUGGGAACCUACCCCUGGGUACGGGAUAGCUCCGGGAAACUGGAGAUAAUACCGUAUGUGUCCUGAGGGACAAAGAUUCAUCGCCAAGGGCUGGGCCCGCGUCGGCUUGGCUAGUUGGUGGGGUAACGGCCUACCAAGGCGACGUUGCGUGGCUGGGCUAAGCGGGGGCUCCGCCGCGUUUGGGCUGCGACACGGCCCACACUCCUACGCGGGGGAGCAGUGUGGAACACUGUGCGAGGGGGCCAGGCGCGACCCAGCCGCGCCGCGUGAGUGAUGAAGGCCCUAGGGUUGCACAUCCGUCUCUCCGGUGACGAUAAUGACGGUAACCGGUGAAGAAGCCCCGGCUAACUUCGUG